AGCCCUGAGGUGUAAUCAUGUUAGAUUGCAAAUCUAAAGAAGCAGACUAACGCCUGCCGGGGCUU
rnacentral:tRNA from 1 species